UUUGCUUUGUUAGAAUUUGAUGUGCCUGUCUGUUGUUCUCUUACGUGUUGUUGGCUGCAACUUUCUGAUUCAGCUGCGUUUUGUAAAGUGAGGAGACCUGCAGGUUUUCCAUAAACUACUUCGAGCUGCGAGGAAGCAGACGGUCAUUUCAGGAUCUGAUUAAAUGGUAAUUUUUGUGGGGAUGAGUCUUUGAGAAGGUAUCCUCUUCUGUAAAUGCUGUGGUCACUGUAAUAAUUAGUCUCCAGAGUAACGGGACUCUGGGGUCAGAUCCUUCCCUUCGUAUAACCAAUUGCACCAGUGUUUUGCUGUCCAUAGGCUCAGUCCCGUUUUAUGCACUGAGCUGGUGGUGGGAUUCCAGAUUGCAGGGAGGGGCUGGAAAGCACAGGCUGGAAAUUCAGCAGCUCGUCGCAGAGGAUGUCCAAGGCCUGGGCGCGCGGGAGCCUGGCCGGGGGCCGAGGCGGAGGCACCGCUGGGGGCUCCGCUUGCGAGACCAGGCUGGUGCGCGCUCGGGCGAGGAUGCGCGGCAGGAGCUGCACAGCUGCACGGGCAUCAUGUUCAGUCUGUGUCUGCUUCGAGCCCGCCUGCAACUCCCCAUUCGGCCCGUUUUAAUGGUUUUCAAAAUACACAUUGUUUUUAGGGUUUUCAGGUUGCUUAACUAACUUGUUAUUGGUUAGCAAAUGUGAUACGGAGCAAGCUGGCCAGAGCUUUAUGUUUCAUUCAUUUUAAGAAACGUAGAAAGGGCUGCAUAUAAUGGGCUUAAAUAUCACAACAAAACUGCUUUAAAAAAUACAGUAAGUACACGUGGUAUAAAACUUCCCUGUCUAGGACGAUUUCUGGAACUUGCGUGGUUUUUAUGCCACCACUCUGUGCACCUCUGCCUAAAGGGCCAGGUCCCAACAAGGUGGAUCCAGGCUGUAAAUCAUCCCCUUUCACCUCUCGGUCGGUCACGUGGUCUCUCUUAAGUGGAAAGCGAAUGGAGAUUUUGAGGGCUUUCCUGUGGUUCCUCUAUUUCUGAAUGCUUUUUUAUAUUCUCAGGGGAAAGAAAUAGGAAUUCUGUAUUGGAUCUCCCAUUUUUCAGAGCACAAGCUGAAAAAGGAGUGCAAAACUCCUUUUUUUACUAUCAUAGGGAAUUAUGUGUGUGAACAAAUUAUGAAAUCAGGUCUCUGUGAUGAAACACUGACUUAGCUGAAAUUAAUAACAGUAUUCCCAUUGGCUCAAAAUUGUGGGUCAAAAUCGUGUCCUGCGUUCAGGUGUAUCGCAUGUCUCCAUACGGUGGUUGAUAGGAUUUAAGAACAUCCUGAGAAUGUUUAGAAAUACCAGUGUGGGAAAGAAGUCCUAGAAAGCUGCUGUUCUGGUUGAUUUUGCAUAUUGCAUAGAUGUGCGGCUUUAUUAUCAAAGAAGAACAUCUAGUCUUGCCAGGUCGAAAGCUGUUCAACUUGAUGAGUCCCAACUGGACGGUGUAAGCAUGUAGCACGUUUCUCCUUAAUGCCACCGUUGAUAGAGGCGGGUUAAUCCAGAUGGCCGGCAAGCCAAGUUGUUAACUUUUUUACUUUUUGUGUUUUGAGAAUUAUCUCUGGUAAAGAGAUAUAAAUCUCUCUGAUUUACAUCCGCUGCGAAUAAUUGCAUGUAGCAGAGCUUCACCAUAGCUGUAUUUCUGAGGUGAUGACUGUGACCUGGAGCCAGAGCAAAAGGCUCAAUCUCCAGUGUGGUCCUGUUUUAGCAGCCUCAAGCUUUGCAAGACCGGACCUGUGCUGAGCGUGAGCUUUGCUGGGUGUGCGGAGCCACCCGAGAGCGUAGGCAGUGGGAGUCGCCGAGCUCCCGCUCUUCCCCCGGUUCCCCCGGCUCUUCAGCGGGCGUUUAGCCCAAGCCACGGCGUGACCACGGAGAUUGCUGCUGACCUACGCCGACCAGGUGGAUGGCCAGAGUGUGGAGAUAAGACCUGUGUUCAGGUGGGAAAAGACCUGCAGUCCUGUAGUUCAGGCACAGAGUUGGGAUGUGAAAUUUGAAUUUAGUGCUUUCAUUUAUUCCGUAGUAGCCUUGGACAAGUUACCCGGUAUCUUUGUCUUUAUCUGCACCUUUGUCAAAUGAAGGGAUGGCAGAAGUGUAACCAAAAGGGUUUGUUUUGGAGAACAAUAUUUGAGAAGUUCUUUAAAUAGGAAAAGCACUGUAUUCAUGCUAAGUACAACAGUAUUAUUCCAAUUUUAGAUUCUCCGUGGCUUGUUACUACAUUAUAAUAGAAGUAAUAUGACUCAUUAGGGAGAACACUAUUAGGGAUUGCAGAUAAGUUUGGCAAAUGACUACAACAGAAAUACCGCUCCUAACAGUCUGUAAGGCAUGUUAAAGAGAGUUUUCUGCGCGUCUCAGGGAAGUGUAAAGUCCCAUUUGCUGUUUUAUCUUCCUAACAUCCUCAGCAAAGCUUUUGCUCCUCCUUUUUCUUUCAAGUGCUCUGUCAUCUCUUUUUUUUCUUGCCGACAUUUAAAAUACAUACGUAGUCCAAUCAGUUUGUCCUCCAUUCUGUAUUUAUUCUGUUCUUGUUUCCUUUCGAUCGAGUUUUCUGUUGCAGUACAACUGUCCGGAUGCUGCAGGUGAAAUGGGUGUGCAAGGAGGAUAUUUUGCUUUCCUAAAUUCUGUUUUUAGCUGUUCUUCUGUUUAUCCAAUUACGCUGUUUAUUUCUUGCCUCUGUGCUGUUGUUUUCCACUUUCCUCCGGGGCAAGUAUUAAUUUUCAGUAAUGGUUUCUGGUUUUUAUAAUCCCUUCACCUAGUAUAUGAAGAAUCGUGGAGUUGCUGACGUGGGAAGCACUCGGUGUUAGACGUAGAACAGCAUAUUUCCAAAUGAAAAUAGUGUGAGCUCAGUAAUGUUUGUGUGGCUCCCGAAACUCUGCGUCGCAGGGAUGCUGCGGUUUCCUCGCGGCUCUCUCAUCAGACACAGCCUGCGUAUUUAGGACAGAUCAGACUUGUCAAACCAGAUCUCUGCCACUCUAUCUCCUUGCCGGGAAAUAACUUCAAAAGAAACCUGAACUUCAGUCUAACACUCACGCUAUAAUAAAGUCUGUAGGGAAAACAGGCUAUUUCAGAGCAAAUUCUGCUCUCAUUUACAUCAGGAUGAACAUCAAGUAUUUCAUGGGGCUUUGAGCUUUACUCUGAUGCAAAUGAGAACAGAAUUUAGUUCUCAGGAUUUGACUGUGCUGGAAAAUUGCAGAUGAUCUGAAUCUUCUCGGGACUUCUUAUUGGAAAUGACUUCUCAUUUGAAAAUGAUUUUACAGGCCAGGUUUUUUCUGGCUGCGGUCAGGAUGUUCAAAUGGAGGAUGUUUUUUUUCUUGAGCUCUCUGUCGAAAAUUAUUCUUGUCCCCUUAUUUCAUCUGGAAUCCCUGAUUCUCGUGCACAGGCUGCUUCCCUGCGGAGGGGCCUCAGCAGCGUGUGGUCCACGCACAGCCCGGGGCUCGGCUUCCAGCGGGUAAUUAAAUGCGUGUCGAAUAGGCCACUUCUGGCAACGGACACGUGGGUCUUUCGAAGCCACCAAGAAGGCGCAAGAAACUGGGAGCUUGAGAGGGAAUCAAAUACAGCAGAACUCAGCAGGAAAAGAAACCCAGAACCGUUCAUCUUUUUUACUCAAAGGGAAAUGAAAGCCAAAAGAGGGAGGGAGUAGCCUGGGACAGAUGGAAGGAAGGGCAAGCUCAUUUCGUACAGGUUUAUUAGCGUUCAGGAAACUGCACUUUGCACGGUUGUACUGAUCUUAGUAAAUGCGAGCCUCCGUUUUCAUCAGCCUCGUUGAAUACCUUCUCUUAAUUUUGCCCAAAGGCAGGAGACAGUUAUAGUGACCUCCUCCUCUGCCGUGCAGGGCAUGGAUUAGUAGUCGUUAGAGAUGGCAGGAUUCAUUUCUUAUCUCUGGACUGUACAGUUGUGUUCUCUGCAAUCGUGGCAGGAAUUUGCUUGCCGAGCAUAACCAGGUCAAGGUUAUUCUUUUGCAGUGCAUGUCUGCUUUCUGAUGGACGUCUGUGUUUGGAAAGGAUUUGGUGCUGGCAGUGAGAUGGCAGUGUCCUUAAACGCUCAGCGCACACCCGCUGCGGGGUUUGCUCGGUCCUUCCAGGCGGGUGCAGAAGCCCGUGAAUCUUUCCCCAUUACCAGCCUGAAUUUGCUCAUCCCUUUCCAGGAGCUCUAGGUCUGGGCUGAACAGGAAAGAAAGUGCAAAGGAAACUGUGAAGAGCCCAUUGCUGCUUGCUCCUGGGCAAGGAGCCUUCACUGCGCUGCGAGCUUUGUGUUUGCAGACUCCUGGGUGGGAGGAGCUCGGUCAGGAGGUCCAGGAGACGUUUUGGUGUGGUUCCAACCAUUCUCCAAGCGUCAUCAAGCCGCGAAGAGCUUCUAAGGCAUCGUGGAGGAGACGAAGCGCAAGGGCCCGUGGUGGCCCUGCCCAGCCGCGGUGCUCGCGAGCAGAGCCUGCUGCCCUGUACACACGGCCGGCAGCUGCGGAUCGACGCUGGGCUGUCCUCGCGCCGGCACGGGGCUGGACCGCCUUCUCCUGCGUUUAUGUGAAAUGAGUUAGAGCUGCCGUGCCACAUGUAACCCGCAUGCACAGCCAGGGGUGUUUUGCUAGCUAUUUGCUUCUCUUUUUGAUAGUUUCUGGCCUGUUGCCUGUUUUGUUUGCAGCCGUCUCUUAUUACCAGCGUCUCUUGCUGAAGGGAGAUGCUGUUUGGGUGGAAUAUUGCAGUUUUGGCUGGAUGAGCUGCUCCAGGCUGCCCUGACCGCUACCUUUAUCCGCUUGCGAGGAGGCUUCCUUAGCGGUGUUCCUGGGGCCUUUGUGCUUGUUUCCAUGGAUCCGUGAGAACCGGCUGCGCGGUUUCUCUGAGCUGCCUGGGACUCGUGCUACAAUACGAGCAAGUGCACUUUCGCAGAAUGCCAGAGGAAGACGGCGAGAGGAGAAUUCGCCUGGAGACAGCUUUGCAGGACUUCGAGGGUCACAGCCUGAUGCUAAGAGCUCCGUAUAAAUAGGAACGGGCUGAGUGCACUGUUGGAAAACAAAAUAUAUUUUCCUAAUGCUUAUUCAGAGUAGUUAAUUCAUUUUAAUAGUGUGAUUGCAUGUGCAUAUAUACCAAGAAUUAAGCUGCUGUCUUUUACUGCCAACAAUAAAAGCUCCAUUUUACUAUUA